ACUUUCACAAGAUUUCUAUGUGAGUUCCAGUUUUUAUGUGGCUGCAGGAUUGCCAUAAGGCAUACCUAUAGACUCUAAUGCAAUCUGAGAAAUAGUGAAGUUAUAUGACAACUUAAAGCAAAAUAAAUAAAUAAACAUGCCCCUGUAGUCCUAGCUGCUUGGGAAGCUGAGGUGGGAGGAUUGUUUGAGCCAGGGAGAUCGAGGCUGCAAGUAAGCUGUGAUCAUGCCACUACUUGCAUGGGAUAUCUCUUUUCAUUCUUUCACUUUUAACCCAUUAGUGUCUUCGGACACAGAUUAGAACCUGAGUCUCUUGUAGACAGUACUGUUCAAUCACAUUUGGUUUUAUUUAAUCCAUUCUGAUUUUGAUUGAAGAAUUUAAGCCAUUUACAUUUAAAGUAAUUACCAAAAAUGAAGAAUCUACAUCUGUCAUUGCGCUUUUGUUUUCUAUGUCUUACAGCAUUUUUGUCCCUCAUUUCCUGAAUUACAGUUCUUUUCUUUUUAGUAGAUUUUUGCUAGUAAAAUCUUUUAAUUCCCUUCUCAUUUCUUUUUAUGUGUGUUCUCUACAGCUGUUUUGUUACAUUUAACAUCCUAAAGUCAUAACACUAUAAAUUAAAUUUAUACUAGCUUAACCUCAAUAACAUACAAAAAA
rnacentral:lncRNA from 1 species